UCGAACGGUAACAUAAGAAAAGCUUGCUUUUCUUGAUGACGAGUGGCGGACGGGUGAGUAAGAUUUGGGAAACUACCUGAUAGAGGGGGACAACAGUUGGAAACGACUGCUAAUACCGCAUACAGCCUUAGGGUGAAAGAAGAAAUUCGCUAUCAGAUGUGCCCAAACGGGAUUAGCUAGUAGGUGAGGUAAAGGCUCACCUAGGCGACGAUCUCUAGCUGGUCUGAGAGGAUGAUCAGCCACAUUGGGACUGAGACACGGCCCAGACUCC
rnacentral:rRNA from 1 species